AGUGAAUGAACCAUGUUGUCAGCCACCAGUAGCCGAUGGAACCAAGCUUGGCCAUCCUUGCACUUUUGGAAACCGGGACAGAAAGAAAUGCUUGGCCAGCCCAGUGCGGCCAAGGUUUGGGAACCCACGCAGAUAAGGCAGCAGCGGCCGGCGUUCUUCCAAUCCUCUGGCAUAAUGGAGGGAAUCAUGCAUCGCGGAAAGAGGGCGGCUCUGGCUGGGUGCUUUUGGAUCAGCGCUGCUGCAACUUUCACGGUGGAUGGACGCUGCCGGCUUGCAUCGCCUUUGACCUUGCUGGAUUGCAUCUUAGGCGCACCCUUCGGUGAUCCCGUCACAUCGCGGCUGCCACACGUGGACUAUGGCUACAGCGCAUCAUCGACACGUACCGUGAC